rnacentral:tRNA from 4 species
GCCGAUGUAGCUCAACAGCAGAGCAACGCUUUUGUAAAGCGAAGAUAGGGGUGCGACUCCUCCCAUCGGCU